GAUGAACGCUGGCGGCGUGCCUAAUACAUGCAAGUCGAGCGAACGGACGAGAAGCUUGCUUCUCUGAUGUUAGCGGCGGACGGGUGAGUAACACGUGGAUAACCUACCUAUAAGACUGGGAUAACUUCGGGAAACCGGAGCUAAUACCGGAUGAUAUUUUGAACCGCAUGGUUCAAAAGUGAAAGACGGUCUUUCUGUCACUUAUAGCUGGAUCCGCGCUGCAUUAGCUAGUUGGUAAGGUAACGGCUUACCAAGGCAACGAUGCAUAGCCGACCUGAGAGGGUGAUCGGACACACGGGAACUGAGAAACGGUCCAGACUCCGACGGGAGGAAGCAGUAGGGAAUCUUCCGCAAUGGGCGAAAGCCUGACGGAGCAACGCCGCGGGAGUGAUGAAGGUCUUCGGAUCGUAAAACUCUGUUAUUAGGGAAGAACAUAUGUGUAAGUAACUGUGCACAUCUUGACGGUACCUAAUCAGAAAGCCACGGCUAACUACGUG
rnacentral:rRNA from 1 species